rnacentral:rRNA from 1 species
UACGAAGGGGGCUAGCGUUGCUCGGAAUUACUGGGCGUAAAGCGCGCGUAGGUGGUUCGUUAAGUUGGAUGUGAAAUCCCCGGGCUCAACCUGGGAACUGCAUUCAAAACUGACGAGCUAGAGUAUGGUAGAGGGUGGUGGAAUUUCCUGUGUAGCGGUGAAAUUCGUAGAUAUCAGGAGGAACACCGGUGGCGAAGGCGACCACCUGGACGGAGACUGACGCUGAGGUGCGAAAGCGUGGGGAGCAAACAGG